UUAUGAGAAAAAUGGACCUGUGAACUUUAUGUAUUCUUUAAUCUUACAAUAAGAGUAGUCAGUGUCUGGAAUCCCGAUAAAACAGUUUUGUAAGGAGUAUUGAGUGUCUAACUAAUUUGUCAUCGUCUGAUCACAACUGGCCUAUAUUUUAAACAACUAUGACUGGAUGGGCAUACAAUGCAUAUCAAGAAAAAUAUUUAAUGUUUUUUUUUUUUCGGUGGAUAUCAACCUUAUGAGAAUAAUUUUAUCACGCUAGAAGAAUGUGAAAAAACGUAUUACAUUUAACAGUGGUGCUGAUUGCUAUAGCAUUCCUAUUUGCAAUAAAUAAUCUAUAUUUAUUUUCAUGAAAGAACAAAUGAUACAAAUAUGUGUUAGAAAUAUGUAAAUCUUGUUAACAAAUCUUGGAAAUUAUUUUUCAACUCGAGAAAACGAACAUUUAUUAUGAUGUAAUCUCAUGUAUUUUUUAGAGUAGUGUGGUAUUCAACAAAUAAUGCAAAUUAUAAUUAAUAGAUAGGAAUACGAGGAUUUUAUAAAUAAACGAGACAGAGAGAAGCAAAUAAAUUUGU